rnacentral:tRNA from 1 species
GCCCCUGUAGCUCAGCUGGAUAGAGCGUCCCCCUCCUAAGGGGAAGGUCGCGCGUUCAAAUCGCGCCGGGGGCACCA